UGUACAUCUUCUCUUAUUUUGCUUAUGUUAUAAAAGGAAGUUUGACAGAGAAAGAAGGUUCAAGGAAGCUCUAAAUAGACUGAAGAGAAAUGCUGACAGACUGAAAGUGGUCUAGAGUCAAUACACGUGACCAAAGAGGCACAGAUGGAGCUUGCCGGCAGUAGAGUCAAUGUAUCACAUAAUGACAUUUCAGCCAACAAUGGACCACAGAUAUGACAGAUUGGACCUGAGAAACUCCUAUCACCUAGCAAUGUCGUAGCCAUGGUAACAUCAUAAGGCAAUGCAUUACUCAAGUGUCUGUGGUGAUGCUGGUGUAAACAAACCCUCUGCGCUGCUAUUUGCAUGAAAGUAUAGCACAUACGGUUAUAGUGUAUGUAUAUAUAUUGAUAAUAAAUGACUGUUGCUGGUUUAUAUAUUUACUAUUUUUUACUAGUUUUUAUCAUUAUUUUAGAUUGUAUUCCUUCUGCAGGACUUGCCUGAAGCUGGUUUGCAUUUAACAUUUUUUUUUAAAUAAAAAAUAUUUAAAAUAAAAAUAAUGUCAAAUGUUAAUCAGCUUCCGGAAAAGUCCUUCAGGAGGAAUUCAGAAGAAGGCAUUGUCAUCAUGGAAAAUGACAGCUCCAUGCGUUACUGCCCCUGAAGACCUUCCAGUAGGACAGGUGUGGAGGUGAAGAUCCUGACCCUGUGUCGGCCUAGGCUCAUGUGUGUGUUUGUGUCUUAGCUUUUAACAAAAUAAAAUUAAAAACUUAAAAAAAAA